rnacentral:rRNA from 1 species
AUACGGAGGGGGCAAGCGUUGUUGGGAAUUACUGGGCGUAAAGGGCGCGCAGGCGGCGUCGUUAGUCAGGUGUGAAAUCCCCGGGCUCAACCCGGGAACUGCACUUGAUACUGCGAUGCUAGAGUUCGGGAGAGGGUAGUGGAAUUCCCAGUGUAGAGGUGAAAUUCGUAGAUAUUGGGAAGAACACCAGUGGCGAAGGCGGCUACCUGGACCGAUACUGACGCUGAGGCGCGAAAGCGUGGGGAGCAAACAGGAUUAGAAACCCCAGUAGUCC